GCCUAAUACAUGCAAGUCGAACGGUGGUAGCAAUACCAUAGUGGCGCACGGGUGCGUAACGCGUAACCAACCUGCCCCGAUCUGGGGGAUAGCCCGCCGAAAGGCGGAUUAAUACCGCAUAACCCAACAAGGUGGCAUCACCUAAUUGGUAAAGAUUUAUUGGAUCGGGAUGGGGUUGCGUGACAUUAGCUAGUUGGCGGGGUAACGGCCCACCAAGGCGACGAUGUCUAGGGGACCUGAGAGGGUGAUCCCCCACACUGGCACUGAGAUACGGGCCAGACUCCUACGGGAGGCAGCAGUAGGGAAUAUUGGGCAAUGGACGAGAGUCUGACCCAGCCAUGCCGCGUGCCGGAUGAAGGCCUUCUGGGUUGUAAACGGCUUUUCUCAGGGAAGAAAAAGGGGAUGCGUCCUCAACUGACGGUACCUGAGGAAUAAGCACCGGCUAACUCCGUGCCAGCAGCCGCGGUAAUACGGAGGGUGCAAGCGUUGUCCGGAUUUAUUGGGUUUAAAGGGUGCGUAGGCGGCUUGUUAAGUCCGGGGUGAAAGCCCACUGCUCAACAGUGGAACUGCCCUGGAUACUGGCAAGCUUGAGUCCAGACGAGGUUGGCGGAAUGGAUGGUGUAGCGGUGAAAUGCAUAGAUACCAUCCAGAACCCCGAUUGCGAAGGCAGCUGACUAGGCUGGUACUGACGCUGAGGCACGAAAGCGUGGGGAGCGAACAGGAUUAGAUACCCUGGUAGUCCACGCCGUAAACGAUGGAUACUCGCUGGUGGCGAUAGAUAGUCACUGGCUUAGCGAAAGCGGUAAGUAUCCCACCUGGGGAGUACGCUCGCAAGAGUGAAACUCAA
rnacentral:rRNA from 1 species